rnacentral:rRNA from 1 species
CACCGCGGUUAUACGAGAGGCCCCAGUUGAUAGAUACGGCGUAAAGAGUGGUUAAGGAAUACACCGAACUAAAGCCGAAGACCCCCUAGGCUGUCACACGCACCUGGGGGCACGAAGCCCUGUCACGAAAGUAGCUUUAUUCAAGCCCGCCCGACCCCACGACAGCUGAGACA